AAGCUAUCAAGCCCCCUCCUUUUUUGGUUGUAGCAGCUCCUCUGCCUCUGUGAAAGAUUCUGCAGUAUAUCGAUCAAUAAAUUUUGAGCAUUGAGAAUAAUCGGUUCGGGGAACUCUUAGCUGCACACAAGAGCUCCAACGGAUUGAAGUAUCUUCUGAGAGGAACGUGGUUGAUUGAUUACUCGGUGCAGACGGGUCGUUUCCUCUCAAAGGGUAGCACCAAAAUUCAGCUUGCUUCAAUUCACAAAUUCAUAGGCUACUCUAAUCAUUUUUUCUCUUGAUUUUAUAUUAUUAUCAUUUGAAUUUUAUUGUUUGUUUGUGGUCUAUAUUUGCUGUUUUUUAUUUAAUCUGAUUGUUAAUUUAGUAUUAAGUUUUCUUUCAAUCUUUGAGAGGAAAGCGUUCAUGCUUGAUUGUUGAAAUGGAUGUGUUGAAAUCUUUGUCUAGCAAAUUAGAAAAAUUUGAUGGACAAAAUUUCCUUUGUUGGCAACAAUAAAUGAAAUUUUGGCUUACUGAAUUAGAACUAUUUUCUGUUAUUUUGACUAAAUUUAAGGAUAAA
rnacentral:misc_RNA from 1 species